UGAGGAAUAUUGGACAAUGGGCGCAAGCCUGAUCCAGCCAUGCCGCGUGCAGGAUGACGGUCCUAUGGAUUGUAAACUGCUUUUGUACAGGAAGAAACAGUUCUACGUGUAGAACCUUGACGGUACUGUAAGAAUAAGGAUCGGCUAACUCCGUGCCAGCAGCCGCGGUAAUACGGAGGAUCCAAGCGUUAUCCGGAAUCAUUGGGUUUAAAGGGUCCGUAGGCGGUUAGAUAAGUCAGUGGUGAAAGCCCAUCGCUCAACGGUGGAACGGCCAUUGAUACUGUCUGACUUGAAUUAUUAGGAAGUAACUAGAAUAUGUAGUGUAGCGGUGAAAUGCUUAGAGAUUACAUGGAAUGCCAAUUGCGAAGGCAGGUUACUACUAAUGGAUUGACGCUGAUGGACGAAAGCGUGGGUAGCGAACAGGAUUAGAUACCCCGGUAGUCCCUGAGCGGGCUGGCAAGGCGCAU
rnacentral:rRNA from 1 species